rnacentral:ncRNA from 1 species
GUGGCCAUGAAAUAAGGAUUAGCCCUUGAGAGGGGAACAACAACUAGAAAUGGCUAUUAAUACCCUGUAGGCUGAGGAGGAAAAGGAGGAAUCCGCCCAAGGAGGGGCUCACGUCUGAUUAGUUAGUUGGUGAGGCAAUAGCUUACCAAGGCGAUGAUCAGUAGCUAGUCUAAGAGGAUGAUCAGCCACACUGGGACUGAGACACGGCCCAGACUCUUGGGAG